rfam:Glycine soja cultivar W05 scaffold2021_33, whole genome shotgun sequence.
UUCUUAUUGAAUGAUGACUGUCACGUGUCAUGUUCUGAUUGAUCAAUGAAAAUAAUAAUGUAUUUUAUCUUUCAUGAAGUUGAUAUCUAAUCAAAAUAUGACACGUAAACAAGAACGUGACAGUCAAUAUCC